rnacentral:rRNA from 1 species
CCUACGGGUGGCAGCAGUGAGGAAUAUUGGUCAAUGGGCGGGAGCCUGAACCAGCCAAGUCGCGUGAGGGAAGACGGUCCUAUGGAUUGUAAACCUCUUUAGGCGGGGAGCAAUGCCGGGCACGCGUGCCCGGAGGGAGAGUACCCGCAGACUUAGCAUCCGCUAACUCCGUGCCAGCAGCCGCGGUAAUACGUAGGUGGCAAGCGUUGUCCGGAUUUACUGGGUGUAAAGGGCGUGUAGCCGGGUUGACAAGGCAGAUGUGAAAUCCUGCGGCUGAACCGCAGAACUGCAUUUGAAACUGUUGAUCUUGAGUACUGGAGAGGCAGACGGAAUUCCUGGUGUAGCGGUGAAAUGCGUAGAUAUUAGGAGGAACACCAGUGGCGAAGGCGGUCUGCUGGACAGCAACUGACGGUGAGGCGCGAAAGCGUGGGGAGCAAACAGGAUUAGAUACCCUUGUAGUC